AACGAAAAUGCUACAAUGUCGUUUUCCCAAAUUUUUUUGGAACUAAACAAGGCCUAUAUAUAAGACAGUUGAUGGUAAUGAAGUGCAAUUGGCUGCUGUUGAGAAAUCACAACAAAAGCACUAUUAUAUAUGACUUGCAUCCAUCCUGAGGCUUUACCAACUGCAUGCAACAAGCUGCUGACACCACUGUAUGGUUGGGUGUGCACUGUGCUGUGCACAUUACUGAUGAUGGAGUAGCACGCUGGAUAGGAUUGAUCCACGGCAGUCUUCAACUUGACCAAGCAGUGCAUAUGAUCUAGUGACCCUCCUGUGCAUGCUAUGCAAGGCAGUGCAUAUGAUCUAGUCUCACCCUGUGCAUUCUAUUUCUAUGCCUUGAACACCUAAUUGAUUGAUUGAUGUGCAGCGUAUGAUCGAUCAUAUAUGGCCUUCUUUCACGCUUCGUGGCCAUCGAUCAUGAUCAGCAAGAUAUAUGGGGCAGUGCAGGAGUGCGGCAGCUACGUACACUCCACUGCAAGUGCAACAUCUACGUGCCCCACCGUCAGUUCAGACUUGAAAGACUGAAACUGAUGAAACCACAUGAACCCAAAGACGUACUAGUACCUGCAGGCAGGCACACAUGGCUGGCAGCUUGGACCAAACUGGCACGGGACGAAACGGAGAGGCUUGGGGAGGUAGAAG